AGAGUUUGAUCCUGGCUCAGGAUGAACGCUAGCGGCAGGCAUAAUACAUGCAAGACGAACGGUAACUUGAGUAGCAAUACUUGAGCUAGAGUGUCGUACGGGUGCGUAACACGUAUGCAACCUACCUUUUACAGGAGUAUAGCUCCCCGAAAGGGGAAUUAACCCUCCAUAAUAUCAUUGGAUGGCAUCAUUUGAUGAUUAAAACUGAGGUGGUAAAAGAUGGGCAUGCGUCUGAUUAGUUAGUUGGCAGUGUAACGGACUACCAAGACGAUGAUCAGUAGGGGACCUGAGAGGGUGAUCCCCCACACUGGCACUGAGAUACGGGCCAGACUCCUACGGGAGGCAGCAGUAGGGAAUAUUGGACAAUGGGUGAGAGCCUGAUCCAGCCAUGCCGCGUGCAGGAAGAAGGCGUUAUGCGUUGUAAACUGCUUUUGCCAGGGGAUAAAACGGUUCUGCGGAACUAAUUGAAGGUACCUGGUGAAUAAGCCACGGCUAACUACGUGCCAGCAGCCGCGGUAAUACGUAGGUGGCAAGCGUUGUCCGGAUUUAUUGGGUUUAAAGGGUGCGUAGGCGGCCCUGUAAGUCAGUGCUGAAAUAUCCCGGCUUAACCGGGAGGGUGGCAUUGAUACUGCAGGGCUUGAGUACAGAUGAGGUAGGCGGAAUUGACGGUGUAGCGGUGAAAUGCAUAGAUAUCGUCAAGAACACCGAUAGCGAAGGCAGCUUACCAAGCUGUAACUGACGCUGAGGCACGAAAGUGUGGGGAUCAAACAGGAUUAGAUACCCUGGUAGUCC
rnacentral:rRNA from 1 species